rnacentral:rRNA from 1 species
GACGAACCGUACAAACGUUAUUCGGAAUCACUGGGCUUAAAGGGUGCGUAGGCGGCGCUGAAAGUAGGGUGUGAAAUCCCUCGGCUCAACCGAGGAACUGCGCUCUAAACUACAGUGCUCGAGGGAGACAGAGGUGAGCGGAACUUAGGGUGGAGCGGUGGAAUGCGUUGAUAUCCUAAGGAACACCCGUGGCGAAAGCGGCUCACUGGGUCUCUUCUGACGCUGAGGCACGAAAGCCAGGGUAGCGAACGGG